rnacentral:rRNA from 1 species
UACGUAGGGGGCAAGCGUUGUCCGGAUUUAUUGGGCGUAAAGCGCGUGUAGGCGGCUGGGUAGGUCCGCUGUGAAAACUCGAGGCUCAACCUCGAGACGUCGGCGGAAACCAUCCAGCUAGAGUCCGGAAGAGGAGAGUGGAAUUCCUGGUGUAGCGGUGAAAUGCGCAGAUAUCAGGAAGAACACCCGUGGCGAAGGCAGCUCUCUGGGACGGUACUGACGCUGAGACGCGAAAGCGUGGGGAGCGAACAGG